rnacentral:rRNA from 1 species
GACGAACGCUGGCGGCGUGCUUAACACAUGCAAGUCGAACGGAAAGGCCCUGCUUUUGUUGGGUGCUCGAGUGGCGAACGGGUGAGUAACACGUGAGUAACCUGCCCUUGACUUUGGGAUAACUUCAGGAAACUGGGGCUAAUACCGGAUAGGAGCUCCUGCUGCAUGGUGGUGGUUGGAAAGUUUCGGCGGUUGGGGAUGGACUCGCGGCUUAUCAGCCUGUUGGUGGGGUAGUGGCUUACCAAGGCUUUGACGGGUAGCCGGCCUGAGAGGGUGACCGGCCACAUUGGGACUGAGAUACGGCCCAGACUCGUACGGGAGGCAGCAGUGGGGAAUAUUGCACAAUGGGCGGAAGCCUGAUGCAGCAACGCCGCGUGCGGGAUGACGGCCUUCGGGUUGUAAACCGCUUUCGCCUGUGACGAAGCGUGAGUGACGGUAAUGGGUAAAGAAGCACCGGCUAACUACGUG